GAUCAUGGCUCAGGAUGAACGCUAGCUACAGGCUUAACACAUGCAAGUCGAACGGCAGCAUGAGGAGCUUGCUCCUUGAUGGCGAGUGGCGCACGGGUGAGUAAGACAUCGGAACGUGUCCUUUUGUGGGGGAUAACUGUCCGAAAGGACAGCUAAUACCGCAUAAGACCUGAGGGUGAAAGCGGGGGAUCGCAAGACCUCGCGCGAAAGGAGCGGCCGAUGGCCGAUUAG
rnacentral:rRNA from 1 species